AUCCAGCUGCUCGCGGAGAAUUGCGCAGACGCUGUAUGUGCCAUAUGCCUGCAUGGAAGCGCAGAAGCCUUCAAAGACCGAAACAGCAGCUGAGCAUACCGAGCAUCUGAGAUCAUCCUAACCUGACAACCCCUUACAGGAUGGAGAGAGGUCAAGUCCAGAUACUGCCUGCCAGCCAUUCAUUUCAACUAAAAUGAAGGAACGUGGUAGAUUUAUUUGAAAUGCUUUAUAUUGUUUUAAAUGUGUACGCAUUU